rnacentral:rRNA from 1 species
UACGGAGGGGGCUAGCGUUGUUCGGAAUUACUGGGCGUAAAGGGCUCGUAGGCGGCCAACUAAGUCGGAUGUGAAAUCCCCAGGCUUAACCUGGGAACUGCAUCCGAUACUGGAUGGCUUGAAUCCGGGAGAGGGAUGCGGAAUUCCAGGUGUAGCGGUGAAAUGCGUAGAUAUCUGGAGGAACACCGGUGGCGAAGGCGGCCAUCUGGGACAACACUGACGCUGAAGCACGAAAGCGUGGGGAGCAAACAGG